UUGAAGGGCCGCGGUAUCUUGACCGUGCGAAGGUAGCAUAAUCAUUAGUCUUUUAAUUGAAGGCUUGUAUGAAUGGUUGGACAAAAAGUAAGCUGUCUCAUCCACAAAGUUUGAAUUUAACUUUUAAGUGAAAAGGCUUAAAUGUUCUAGGGGGACGAUAAGACCCUAUAAAGCUUUACAAUAACCGGAAGGGACCAAGAUUUGUUAGUAUAAUUUGGUUUAUUUGGGGUUUGUUUCGUUGGGGCGACGAGAAUAUAAAUUAAAUAACUGUUCUUUUUAGGUGUACAAUGUUAAUUGGUUAAAAAUUGAUCCUUUAUUAAAGAUUAUAAGAUUAAGUUACUUUAGGGAUAACAGCGUAAUCUUCUUUGAGAGUCCAGAUCGACAAGAAGGGUUGCGACCUCGAUGUUGAAUUAAGGGAUCCUUGUGGUGCAGCAGUUACAGAGGAAGGUCUGUUCGACCUUUAAAUCCUUACAUGAUUUGA
rnacentral:rRNA from 1 species